rnacentral:rRNA from 1 species
CACGAGCGUAGCAAGACGCAAGUCACUCGCUUCUGUCGGUCUCGGUGGAGGGUCUGCCUAAUCCAUUUCUGAAGAUUGGCCUCGGAUCAGGUGGGGAUACCCGCUGAACUUAAGCAUAUCAAUAAGCGGAGGAAAAGAAACCAACAGGGAUUGCCUCAGUAACGGCGAGUGAAGCGGCAACAGCUCAAAUUUGAAAUCUGGGGCCUUCGGCUCCCGAGUUGUAAUUUGUAGAGGAUGCCUCGGGGGGUGCUUCGGCCCAAGUUCCUUGGAACAGGAUACCACAGAGGGUGAGAGUCCCGUAUCCGGCCGGCAGUGCCCUCCGCGCGAGGCUCCUUCGACGAGUCGAGUUGUUUGGGAAUGCAGCUCUAAGCGGGUGGUAAAUUCCAUCUAAAGCUAAAUACUGGCCAGAGACCGAUAGCGAACAAGUAGAGUGAUCGAAAGAUGAAAAGCACUUUGAAAAGAGAGUCAAACAGUACGUGAAAUUGUUGAAAGGGAAGCGUAUGGGGGCAGACUUGGCCGCGGGGUUCAGGGUGUCUUUUGGCGCCUGUACUUCCCCGUGGGCAGGCCAGCAUCGGUUUUGGGGGUUGGAUAAAGGCGUCGGGAAUGUGGCUCCCCUCGGGGAGUGUUAUAGCCCGUCGCGCAAUGCAGCCACCCGGGAUCGAGGACCGCGCUUCGGCAAGGAUGCUGGCGUAAUGGCCUCAUACGGCCCGUCUUGAAACACGGACCAAGGAGUCUAACAUCUAUGCGAGUGUUUGGGUGUCAAGCCCGAGCGCGCAAUGAAAGUGAACGGAGGUGGGAGCCCGUAAAAAGGCGCACCAUCGACCGAUCCUGACGUCUUCUGAGGGAUUUGAGUAAGAGCAUAGCUGUUGGGACCCGAAAGAUGGUGAACUAUGCGUGAAUAGGGUGAAGCCAGAGGAAACUCUGGUGGAGGCUCGCAGCGGUUCUGACGUGCAAAUCGAUCGUCAAAUUUGCGUAUAGGGGCGAAAGACUAAUCGAACCAUCUAGUAGCUGGUUCCUGCCGAAGUUUCCCUCAGGAUAGCAGUAACGUUUUCAGUUUUAUGAGGUAAAGCGAACGAUUAGGGAGCUAGGGGCUGAAACAGCCUUUAUCCAUUCUCGAACUUUAAAUAUGUAAGAAGUCCUUGUUACUUUGUUGAACGUGGACAAUCGAAUGCAGCGUUACUAGUGGGCCAUUUUUGGUAAGCAGAACUGGCGAUGCGGGAUGAACCGAACGCGGGGUUAAGGUGCCGGAAUGCACGCUCAUCAGACACCACAAAAGGUGUUGGUUCAUCCAGACAGCAGGACGGUGGCCAUGGAAGUCGGAAUCCGCUAAGGAGUGUGUAACAACUCACCUGCCGAAUGAACCAGCCCUGAAAAUGGAUGGCGCUCAAGCGUGCUACCCAUACCCCGCCGUCUGUGUUCGAUUUAGACGCAGACGAGUAGGCAGGCGUGGAGGU